AACAACCCACAUAAUACAUUACUUGAUAUCUCUGAACUAUUCAAGCUAGCUCCGCAUCCCCGUUUCUUCUCCACCACCUACACAUCUCUCAUCCUAAUUUAACAUAACCUUAAUCACUGUCGGCACCACAACAACCAGACCCGUUUCGAUGUAAUUGCAUAUUCAUUAUGAUAGAAUCACAACCACCUCCAGCUUUUACAUUCGAGGUUUAUAUUGAGUCACCACCAAGCUUGCGAAUAUUCGAGGUUUGCAUUUUUAUUUUUAUUUUUAUUUUUUAGGGUUUUUUUCAUCAAAAGACACUAUCCCACCACCACUAGAAUGCAGGUGUGCCUAUACUCUAGAAAUUAACUUCAUUUUGCAGUUUGCCUGUUUUGGAUAUCUGGGUUUGUGUUUUUUCUCAACAGACUCCGUCACCACCAUCGCCAUAAUGUAGUUGUCCAGGCUACUGUAAAAGUUUAUCACGUAACUUUUUUCCUUGCAAAAUUAGUUCUUUUGAUUGAUAUUCUUUUCUUUCAGUACGUCACAAGUAUUAUCGUUUUUCUUUGCUUUGAAUAACUAUUUUCGAACAAUUUCUAUACAUCUAGCAAGUGCUGUUGGUUAGUGUGUUGUUUUACAUUGUAAUCAUGUAUUAGUUUCGGUACUAAAUUUUAUUAGCUUCGGUACUAAAUUUAUCAUUGGCUCCAUAGCUCAAUUUAUUAGCAAUCCUGGCCGAAUAUGGGUACCAGUGGGUUGCUCAAAUGAUUUGCAGAAAUGGUAGGGUCACAAGUUUUUCAAGAAGACCCAUUGGUGGAGUAGACUGCCAACUUUGUACACCACACCAUAUCUAUUUGUGGUGAUCGUGUAGUUAUUUUCUUUUCAGGUGAGAAGUAUGGGUGCUCUAAAGAAUAACUUUAAACUUUUGUUAGAUUUGUUAAUUUUUGGUUUGCUGGAAAUAUUCUCCCACCAUCUCUAAUUGAUAAAAAUCCUUAUUAUUGUUCCACCAUUUCUAAUUGUUAAACUCCUUCGUUGGAAGGCCACAAACUCUGCACUUUUGUCGGUUAAACACCAUUUGACAAGCAAAAGAGGUUUUGUUAAAAAAACAGGUACAACCAUAACAGCCAACUAAGAAUUGAGAAGAGAAUGUGAAUCCAUAGACUCGGAGAGGGGAGGGGGUUUUCGGACUUUACUAUGGCAGGUUGUCUUAAUGCCAGUAGCCAAUCUAUCCAUUACAGUAUGAGCAAGAUUAAGGUCCUUAGGUCCUGUGGAAGUACCUCUUCCAUCAAUCAACAGAGGCAAGAUUGAUGACUCUGAACGGCUUCGCUCCAUGGAGUUAAAUCAGCAAGGAAAAUCGAGGCUCUAUAUGUUCAAAGUAAUUUGGUAUCUAGCAACAACUUUCUGUUUUCCUAUUUCUUUCUUUUUCAUGGUUGACAACUUGAAAUUAUCCUCGCAAAGCUUAACUUCACCAUACAAAUUAUAUGCUUCUAAAUUCGUCUACUCCUUCAUUUUACCAUAAGAAGUUGCCUCGACUCCUAUUAAAUCAUAUUUGUUUGAUAUGUGGACCUAUUCAAGGGAUUAUAAUUUGUAGAUUUGGUUUCUGACCGUCGUAGCGUGGAGCUGUCAUCAAGCUCUAACGAUAAUUAUAACAAUGAGGUAGUGAAGUAAAUUUACGAUGGGCGGGCGGCAUGUCCACAUCUGUAUGGUACGGGUUAAGCUCUUACACACAUGUUUUUUAAUUAGGUAAAGUAACAGUUGGAUGUGUCUCCAGUCCACAAAAACAUUGUGAUCUUGAAAAGUAGGGUUCCAACUUCUUUUUUCUUAACAAUUGACUUACCUGAAGAGUAAAAUUUCUUCUGGCAUGGCCUAUGGUCAGCGUAUCUGUUUGUAAAUGUUGUACAAAACCCUCUUAGAUAACUUGGAUGAUUGUGUAAACAAAAGAUCACCGAGUACAGUAUUUCAGAAUUGGAUUUACUAAAAACACCACGUUUCGAACAAAAGAUCACUGUAAAUUUGAGAAAUUGAUUUACUGAAAAAUACCAUUUAUGAAGAUUUUUUAGUUAACUAUUAAUGACCUUCUUACCAACUUUAGAUAUUAACUCUUACAGUAAUGAUCAUAAAGAGCUUUUCUAAUUGCUAGAUUUGGCUUAUGUCUGCUCAAUUUUAAAUUUGGAUGUUUGACUUUAGUUGAUGGGUUCUGUUCAACAGAUUUUGGAAACUUGGUCAUAUACAUGGUAUACACAUCAUCAUCAGUUUUUUUGUUCUUUGAUAGGAAGAUGUUAAUGUUUAACGGCGAAGAGGUAUGUUUAUGGAGUUACUUGCAGGACUAAUUCUACUUGAUGCAUGAGUUUCCCAUGAAAGGGUUGGUGUUGCAGUCAAUAGUACAUUUAUUUAGUUGUAACUCCAAGUGCGAGGAUGUUUAUCAGGGCAGAUAGUAGAAACAAUUUCUUCAAUUCCAAGUUGAGACAUAAAAGUGGUUGCUGAAGUGAACCACGGUGGUCUUAUAUCCAAAAGGAAUGGAAAAGUGGGAAGUGAACACAACAAUAGCUGCACUUGCUUGAUUUUUAAACGGCGCAAAGGCAAAAGGUGCAUCUUUUGAUUCUAUUUCAAAUGCCACUACUUCAUGAAGAACAUGAUGGGUUUAUGGCUCAACUUCACUUUUUGAUAAUGUCUUUUCUAUUAUCUUAAAUGUAUCUUUACUUGUAUGAUAUGGCCAGAAUAAAUUCUAAACAGAAAUCUUAUGACAACGCAAGGAAGGUGGUCUAGAUUCGGUGAAAUUCAUAUGGGGAAACUAAAGAGUUGAGAUUCAUUUUUGUUUGUUUUCAUUUUGAAGUUGUCUUGAUUGUUGUGGAUUGCUUGCGUAUCAGUUUGGUAUUUCAUUUGCAUUA